rnacentral:rRNA from 1 species
GACGAACGCUGGCGGCGUGCUUAACACAUGCAAGUCGAACGGUAAGGCCCCAGCUUGCUGGGGUACACGAGUGGCGAACGGGUGAGUAACACGUGGGUGACCUGCCCCGCACUUCGGGAUAAGCCUGGGAAACUGGGUCUAAUACCGGAUAGGACCGCACCGUGAGGGUGUGGUGGAAAGUUUUUCGGUGUGGGAUGGGCCCGCGGCCUAUCAGCUUGUUGGUGGGGUAAUGGCCUACCAAGGCGGCGACGGGUAGCCGGCCUGAGAGGGUGGACGGCCAGAUUGGGACUGAGACACGGCCCAGACUCCUACGGGAGGCAGCAGUGGGGAAUAUUGCACAAUGGGCGGAAGCCUGAUGCAGCGACGCCGCGUGGGGGAUGACGGCCUUCGGGUUGUAAACUCCUUUCACCAUCGACGAAGGUUUUCUGACGGUAGAUGGAGAAGAAGCACCGGCUAACUACGUG